CCUACGGGGGGCAGCAGUGAGGAAUAUUGGUCAAUGGGCGCGAGCCUGAACCAGCAAAGUAGCGUGAAGGAUGACUGCCCUACGGGUUGUAAACUUCUUUUAUAAAGGAAUACAGUGAGGCACGUGUGCCUUUUUGUAUGUACUUUAUGAUUCAGGAUCGGCUAACUCCGGGCCAGCAGCCGCGGUAAUACGGAGGAUCCGAGCGUUAUCCGGAUUUGUUGGGUUUAAAGGGAGCGUAGAUGGGUUGUUAAGUCAGUUGUGAAAGUUUGCGGCUCAACCGUAAAAUUGCAAUUGAAACUGGCAGCCUGGAGUACAGUUGAGGUAGGCGGAAUUCGUGGUGUAGCGGUGAAAUGCUUAGAUAUCACGAAGAACUCCGAUUGCGAAGGCAGCCUACUAAACUGCCACUGACAUUGAUGCUCGAAAGUGUGGGUAGCAAACAGGAUUAGAUACCCUAGUAGUC
rnacentral:rRNA from 1 species